GUUUUAAUAAUUUAAAAUUUAAAAUUUUGGUCUUGUAAACCAAAUAUAAGGUUUAACCUUUUAAAACU
rnacentral:tRNA from 1 species